rnacentral:rRNA from 1 species
AUAAACGCUGGCGGCGUGCAUGAGACAUGCAAGUCGAACGAAGGAUCGGGCUUGCUCGAUCCUUAGUGGCGGACGGCUGAGUAACGCGUAGGUGACCUACCCCGAAGUGGGGAAUAACUGCCCGAAAGGGUGGCUAAUACCGCAUGUGGUCGCACGUUCAUUCGUGCGAGUAAAGCCGCAAGGCGCUUCGGGAGGGGCCUGCGUCCGAUUAGCUCGUUGGUGGGGUAAUGGCUUACCAAGGCGACGAUCGGUAGGUGGUCUGAGAGGACGAUCACCCAGACUGGGACUGAGACACGGCCCAGACUCCUACGGGAGGCAGCAGCCGGGAAUUUUGCUCAAUGGGGGAAACCCUGAAGCAGCAACGCCGCGUGAGGGAUGAAGGCCUUCGGGUUGUAAACCUCUUUUGUCAGGGACGAUGAUGACGGUACCUGGCGAAUAAGCCACGGCUAACUACGUG